rnacentral:rRNA from 1 species
AACGAACGCUGGCGGCAUGCCUAACACAUGCAAGUCGAACGAGACCUUCGGGUCUAGUGGCGCACGGGUGCGUAACGCGUGGGAACCUGCCCUUAGGUUCGGAAUAACUCCCCGAAAGGGGUGCUAAUACCGGAUAAUGUCUUCGGACCAAAGAUUUAUCGCUUUUGGAUGGGCCCGCGUUGGAUUAGCUAGUUGGUAGGGUAAAAGCCUACCAAGGCGACGAUCCAUAGCUGGUCGGAGAGGAUGAUCAGCCACACUGGGACUGAGACACGGCCCAGACUCCUACGGGAGGCAGCAGUGGGGAAUAUUGGACAAUGGGCGAAAGCCUGAUCCAGCAAUGCCGCGUGAGUGAUGAAGGCCUUAGGGUUGUAAAGCUCUUUUACCCGGGAUGAUAAUGACAGUACCGGGAGAAUAAGCUCCGGCUAACUCCGUG